GAUUCCUGGCUUCUCCUUAAUCCGGGGUCCCGCGUGGCAUGUCUAAGAAUUCACCAUUCAAAAUCCCUGCAAUUCUAGAGCCUCUAGGUCAAUUCUCUAUAGCUGACGUGGCAAUAUAAUUCCACAUAAUAUUUUGCUAUUUAAUCUUUAAAACACUAAUGAAAUAAUUUAUCACUCAUAAUUCCUAAAUCCCCUUCGCAAUCUUUUCUGUCUACGCUCUCCAUUCCCCACCCCCACCGGAUCUCCAUUCCCCAAUCACUCGAUCUGCCCCUCCCACCGCCGCGAUUUGCUUCGCCGGACCACCCGGCUCUCCUUCCACCUUCGCCCACCGCUGCGAUAGAUUCUCCCUUCAUUGUCUUUUCUGCACACCGACUCUCCCUUCCACCGCCGCGAUCUGCUUCGCUGGACCACCCGACCCUCCUUCCCCAUUCCCCCACCGCUGUGAUCUGCCCCUCCCACCGUCGUGAUCUGCUGCUCAAGCCUCAAUUUCGUCCCCAAAUUCAUUCUCUCCCCCGUCGCCGAUGGCCCGUUCUUCGUGUGAACAUCAACGAGUGAGAUAUUUCAAUGAAUGUUGCGUACGGGAAGGCCGCAAUCGCCUCUGUCUGCUUCUCUUCGUCGGCCGCCACUCGGCCGUCUGGCUAGAAAUCGCCAUUACCGCCGCUGCCACCUCCUCUGACAUGACGCACGGAUUGCUCUAAAACGUCGGCGCCGCCUCAACCACCAUUGCUCUAACAUGGUAAGUAUUAAAGAUUAUGCUUGACUGGGUUGAAUAUGGAAUGAUUAGUGCUUAAUUUUAGAAAUAACAAAUUUUGGAAAUAUACAAUUAUUGAUGGUAAACUUUAGAAAGACAUUUUUUUGGAAAUAAUUUUAUCAAAGGAAAAUUAAGCCCUAGAUUUUGAUCUAUAAAAGCAACGAGCUUUCACCUCCGAUUCAUUCUCUGGAAAUUAUCGAGGAAGGAAUCGAAGGUGAGAAAAUAAACUUUGAAACUUGAAAGAGUUCACCGAUGCUGACUUUGAUUGCUUUACUUCCCUGUUUUGGUUUCUCUGUGUAUUUUCUCUCUGUAUUUCUUUAUGUAUUUCUGCAUUGGAUUGAUUUCUCUCUGUAUUUCUCCAUAUUGCAGCACCCAAAUCGAAUAUUUUUUGCUUCCUUCCAUCUACAAUUGUGAGUGCUCUUCUUGAAUCACAACUCAAGCUAUCUUGGAACUUCUUUACUUCUUCUUUGGACUUAUAACAUCAGCAAAUCAUAGAGUUGCUGAAGCUGCAAGCAGUGAAGAGAUUUGGAGCUGGAGGACGCUCUGAUCCUUAUAUUUACAUGGCUGCUGGAAUCUUACGAGUGUGAUCCUCACUUUUGGAUCUUUACAGUUGGAUCAUGUUUGCAUGAAGUCAUGAAUAAUGUGAUUGAAAAACUAUGGGAAAGGGUAAGAGAAAUAUUUGGUUAUCAAAGUCCCAUAUGAAAUUUGACUAAUCCACUAGUUCUAUUCUUGAUGAAACUGUAAUUAUCGUGUUUCUAUGUAUUCACUAUACACUUUUCUCUUCAUUAACACGAGUUUGUUUAUGAUGUCGUCGUUGUUGCAUUCGGAUAGGGAAACGAAUUAUCUAAUAGCUGAAUUCGCUAAGUUUGUAAAAUAUGAGUUUAAUUGCUUGCCAGCUCUAUUUUUCUUAAUGGAAUAUUCUUCACUUAAGGGUCUUCUUUGAGUAGCUUAUCAACAAUUAUAUUCUUCUCCCUGGCGUUUUAAGCUUCAACGGGUAGGCUGGUCAUUUUCUUAAAUUUAUUUUAUAAUCUAACAUGUAAAUGAUAUUGUGUUAUAUUUUAUCAUUCUCUAUGCAUGCUCAUUGUUUGUUUGUUUUUUUAAAUGGUUUUAGGUGAUAAGUUCGUAAAUGGAGAAUAAUUCCCUGACAGUACCCAACAUAUUAACCGCAACAGGCUUGAAGUUCGAAUCAUUAUUAGUUAUAGAACUUUUUUUUGUAGCGUGUAACCCGUCGAAUUCUAAAUCUUUUUUUUUUGUACAAUUUAUUGAGAUUUUGAUUAUUUUUUUUUUAA